GGGGAUAGAAGCUAGAAGUGCAUAUCUGUAACAUAACCAGUGAUUAUAUGAAAGUAUAGUGUAACAGUAGGGAAGGUCUGAGACAAGAGCCACUGGCUGCCCUAGCAUGGCAUCACCUGCUGCAGAUGGAUGAGUUGCCAGCAAUGGUGCGCCCUGGGUCAGGGUCCCAAACUGGGCAGGAGAAGCUAGAAGAAGCCCCUCUAGUGGAUGCCCAGCUCCCUCCCAAGGGUCAUGGCAGUUUUCAGUUAUUGGCCAGUAGACAGUUCGGUAUUGGUAUUUCAAAUUCC
rnacentral:lncRNA from 1 species